rnacentral:rRNA from 1 species
UGGGGAAUCUUGCGCAAUGGGCGAAAGCCUGACGCAGCAACGCCGCGUGUGUGAUGAAGGUCUUCGGAUCGUAAAGCACUGUCGGGAGGGACGAAUAAGGGCCGGGUGAACAAUCCGGUUCGAUGACGGUACCUCCAAAGGAAGCACCGGCUAACUCUGUGCCAGCAGCCGCGGUAAUACAGAGGGUGCAAGCGUUGUUCGGAAUUAUUGGGCGUAAAGCGCGUGUAGGCGGUCUCGCAAGUCGGAUGUGAAAGCCCUCGGCUUAACCGAGGAAGUGCGUUCGAAACUACGAGACUUGAGUACCGGAGAGGGUGGCGGAAUUCCCGGUGUAGAGGUGAAAUUCGUAGAUAUCGGGAGGAACACCAGUGGCGAAGGCGGCCACCUGGACGGCUACUGACGC